rnacentral:lncRNA from 1 species
AUGAUGACAGGCUUCAGGACAACAGUCAGCCAAUCAGAGCAGCAGAAGCUCCAACAGGUGGGAGGACUAGUCAAUCUGAUGUUCCUCCUGGAGGAGCAGAGAGGAGUAGCAGUAGCAGCUGGUCUGCAGAGAUGUUGUGACUGGACGGUGUUCCUGGGAGGUGGAGAGCAGAGUGAUGGAGGAAUCAGAGGAAGUGGAGAUGAGUGUCAGAGCUGCAGCAGGAACUUGGCGCUUCUCUUAACUUCCUACACACGCUUUUUCUGUAGCUGUUGAUGUCAUCCUUCCUGUCAGCUGAUGUCCGUGUUUCUCAGUCUAUCUUAAUGGAGGACACACGCACACAUAGGUAGUUCGCCAUCCCUGCUAUUUCUCCUCCACCUGCCCCAGGUGGAGUAGUUUAAAUACCUUGGGAUCUUGUUCACAGAUGAGAAAAGACCGGAGCGUAAGAUUGACAGGUGGAUCUGAGCAGCAUCCGUAGUUAUGCAGUCGCUGUAUCGGUCCGUUGUGGUGAAGAGAGUGCUGAGCCAAAAAGCAAAGCUCUCAAUUUACUGGUAGAUCUUCGUUCCAAUACUCACCUAUGGUCAUGAGCUCUGGGUCAUGACGCAAAGAACAAGGUCCCGAAUACAAGCAGGUGAAAUGAGCUUCCUCCGUAGGGUAGCUGGACGCUCCCUUAGAGAUAGGGGGAGGAGCUUGGAGUAGAAGUGCUUCUCCUCCACAUCCAGAGGAGCCAGUUGAGGUGGCUCAGGCAUCUGGUCCCGAUGCCUCCUGGACACCUCCCUGGGGAGGUGUUCCGGGCAUGUCCCAGUGGGAGGAGGAUUGGGGAAGACUCAGGACACGCUGGAGAGACUACGUCUCUGGGCUGGCCCGGGAACGUGUCGGGGUCCCCCAGAGGAGCUGGAAGAAGUGGCUAGGGUGAAGGAAGUCUGGGCAUCUCUGCUUAGACUGCUGCCCCGCGACCCGGUCCCAAACAAAAGGGGAGGAAGAUGGAUGGAUGGAUGCAUGGAUGGAUGGAUGCAUGGAUGGAUGGAUGAAUGGAUGGAUGGAUGCAUAGAUGGAUGGAUGGAUGCAUAGAUGGAUGGAUGCAUAGAUGGAUGGAUGAAGGAUGGAUGGAUGCAUAGAUGGAUGGAUGGAUGAUGGAUGGAUGGAUUAAUGAUGGAUGGAUGGAUCCAUGGAUGGAUGCAUAGAUGGAUGGAUGAUGGAUGGAUGGAUGAUGGAUGGAUUGAUGAUGGAUGGAUGGAUCCAUGGAUGGAUGGAUAGAUGCAUGGAUGGAUGGAUGGAUGGAUUGAUGAUGGAUGGAUGGAUCCAUGGAUGGAUGGAUGCAUGGAUGGAUGCAUAGAUGGAUGGAUGGAUGGAUGUAUCGAUGAAUGGAUGGAUGCAUGGAUGGAUGCAUAGAUUGAUGGAUGGAUGCAUGGAUGGAGGGAUGGAUGAUGGGUUUGAUAACCAAAUCAUACAGUAUGUGUCCCCAUUUCUACCGUUUCCAAAUACAAAUUUUCUGUUAACCUCGUCUCCAUCUUUUAUUCACACAUUCUAGCACUAGUAUUGAGUUUCCCCAUUUGCCCUCAUUGUUGUCCCCUGUGUCCGUUUGUGUGUAUUCAGUCCUGUCCUUCCCUUCCUGUGCUGCUCCAUAUUGUGCUGUUCUCCUGUUUCCAGUUCUGCUCAGCAGAGGAUUCUGGUUUUAGUUUUUGGAUUAAAGACCUUGUUCACCUGGGUCCUCCCUGAACCCCCUUCAUGACUCCCUGAGACGAGCUCUGAGGCAGAUAGGGGUUACACACGUGUCCUUGGGCAAGGCACUGAAGCCCACGUUGCUCCUGAUGAUUGUCCGUUGGUGCCAGUGUUUGGCAGUGGAGGAUGUGUGAAUAAGACAGAAAAAAGAUUUCUACAAACAUGUAACAGUCUUCUCUGAUGAUCAAUGAGCACUCUCUUUCUGCUACCAUUUCUACUUAUGGAUUAAGUAUAAAUAAAUCUACAUGGAUGUUUAAAGCAGCUUAUGGUAACUAUGUAAAGUUUUAAUUUGCUGCUUCAGAGAUUUGUUUUCUUUACUGUUUUUGUCAAUAAUUUGAUCAGUUUUUUAACACAGUGCUAACAACAUGAAAUGAUAAUCUAAACUCCUGUAACAUAAGUGACUGAUGGGAACAAGAAUGUAAAACAUAGUUUUAUUGGUCUUCAGUUUUUUUUAUUUGAAAUAAAUGUGUGCUACAACUCCAGACCUGACUGACGUUCACGCCCAUUUCCUUCUUCACGGGGAGGUUGAAGGCUAACACCCACAGAUGGGUUUAUUUCCGUCACCAGCAAAGGAUUUAUUUAUAGUUUUGCUCAGAAUGCAUCUGCUGAAUAAAACAUGUCUUCUCUGGAUUGGCCACACCCACGACAGACAGAAAUCACUUUUAAAUUGACAAAAAUGAGACAGAGGCAGAAAAGACAAAAAGAAAAUCACGAAAUGGGCAGUUCAUACAUUUAGAGACUUCCUGGCUCAAAGAAACAUGGACAUCAACUUUAAAAAUGACACUGCCGCCACUCUCAAUGAGAGUCUGCAGCUUUUUUAAGCGUCUCUUCAGUCAACUAAGGAAGGAGGAGAGUACAGUGUUGCCAGUCUGAGGAGCUUGAGAGCCGGCCUCAAUCAUUACGUAAGAGACGUCAACAUCAUCAGCGACACCUUAUUCAAGAGGGGCA